GUUACUACAUGAUUCCAUAUGUGUUAUUUCAUAGUUUUGAUGUCUUCACCAUUGUAGAAAAUAGUAAAAAUAAAGAAAACCCUUGAAUGAGAAGCUGUGUCCAAACUUUUGACUGGUACACUCCAUGAAUAUGAACUACUGCACUAGUUUAAGAGACACAGAUACACCCUACAGUCCAUUAGACAGGCUGGUUAUGUUAUCUGUGAAGGUGAGAGGUAAAUGAACAACGCUGAGAUGAAUUGAGAGCUAAAUGAAUAUCGCUGAGAUGAAGUGAGAGCUAAAUGAACACCGCUAGAUGAAGUGAGAAAUAAAUGAACACCGCUGAGAUGAAGUGAGAGCUAAAUGAACACCGCUGAGAUGAAUGAGAAAUAAAUGAACAACACUGAGAUGAAGUGAGAGCUAAAUGAACACCGCUGGGAUGAAGUGAGAGCUAAAUGAACACCGCUGGGAUGAAGUGAGAGCUAAAUGAACACCGCUGGGAUGAAGUGAGAGCUAAAUGAACACCGUUGAGAUGAAGUGAGAAAUAAAUUAACACCGCUGGGAUGAAGUGAGAGCUAAAUGAACACCGCUGAGAUGAAGUGAGAGCUAAAUGAACACCGCUGAGAUGAAGUGAGACCUAAAUGAACACCGCUGAGAUGAAGUGAGAGCUAAAUUAACACAGCUGAGAUGCAGUGAGAGCUAAAUGAACACCGCUGAGAUGAAGUGAGAGCUAAAUGAACACCGCUGAGAUGAAGUGAGAGCUAAAUAAACACCGCUGAGAUGAAGUGAGAGCUAAAUUAACACCGCUGAGAUGCAGUGAGAGCUAAAUUAACACCGCUGAGAUGCAGUGAGAGCUAAAUGAACACCGCUGAGAUGAAGUGAGAGCUAAAUGAACACCGCUGAGAUGCAGUGAGAGCUAAAUCAACACCGCUGAGAUGAAGUGCUGUUUCUUAAUUCAGCCAAUGACAAAGUACUGUAGUCUGACAGUAGUUUUUUGACAGAGCAGCCCACUCCAGUCCUGAUCCUUCCCCAUCUGGAGUGUUUCAAAUGGUACCCUAUUC
rnacentral:lncRNA from 1 species